ensembl:lncRNA
CAGGGUUUGCCAUAUUACAUUAUAAUAUUCUGUUUAUUUUUCAGUUUCUCCCACUGAAUAAGGUUUUACAGCAUUAGUACAAUGCCUUAGUACAGUAAGCUCUAUGUAAAUAUUUAUGAAUGAAUGAGUGAACACACAUAUUACUAAAGUUUAAAGCUGUUAGAUUUACUUGCUUUUGAAAGUGUGUUUUUGAGAUUCCACAGUGUCAAUUAUGGUCAAAAGUCUUUUCUGAGUAGUGCCCUGAUGCUUUCAAGCAAACAUUAUACCCCUGAAAAGUACACCCAAACAUAGCGACAUUACUAACCCAAGGUCAGUGACGCACACAUUUUGCCUCUUGUUAUUUGUUCUUUUUUCAUAGUAAUAGUGGUUUUAAAGAAUCCCCCUGCCAGUGCAGGUCUCCCACAUUGCAGGCAGAUGCUUUACCCUCUGAGCCACCAGGAAACCAACUCCAAUAUUCUUGCCUGGAGAAUUCCAUGGACAUAUGGAGCCUGGUGGGCUGCAGUCCAUGGGGUUGCAGAGUUGGUCACAACUGAGUGCACAGGCACACACAGUGGAUUUUUGCAAAAUCUAAACCUGGCCUAGGUUCUUGUAUGCAGAGCACACGUUGUAAAUAGUAGGUUGAGCUUAGAGUUUGGUCCAUAGUAGUAUCUCAUUGGAAAUUUCCUAUACACAUUUUAAAAGAAAGUAACUUUGAUCUUCCUUUUACCUAGUCCCCCCUCAUUUCCAGGUUGAUGGUAGAGGUAUAAGCCAUGUUUCUUUUCAGUAAUGAUUAUACAUACUUUUAAAAAAACAUUUUCCUAUACCUUUUCUCCCUUGAGCUUUAUAAGACAAAAAUACCUGAGCCUUUACUGUUCCAAUUCAUAUUUAAGCCCCAGGAGAACAGUUAUUUUUGAAAGCCAUAGUGUUUUAUUCCCAAAUCUCUAGUGUGUGUUUUUUGUGUGUGUAUGUUUAUGUACGUGUAUGUAUAUAUCUGUGCAUGCAUGCUCAGUUGCUCAGUCGUGUCUGACUCUUUGCGACCCAUGGACUGCAACAUGCAGGCUCCCCUGUCCGUGAGAUUGCCCAGGCAAGAGUACUGGAGUGGGUAGCCAUUUCCUCCUCCAAGGGAUCUUCCCAACUCAGUGAUCAAACUCACAUUUCCUGCAUUGGCAGGCUGAGUCUUUACCUCUGAGCCACCUGGGAAAAUAAGAAAGAAAGUGAAGUCGCUCAGUCAUGUCCGAUUCUGCAACCCUUCAGACUGCAGGCCGCCAGGCUCCUCUAUCCAUGGGAUUCUCCAGGCAAGAAUACUGGAGUGGGUUGCCAUUUCCUUCUCUAGGGAAUCUUCCUGACCUGGGGAUCAAACCCAGGUCUCCCACAUUGCAGCCAUGAGGGCCUGUCCAGCCACCUGGAAAACCAUGUAUAUAUCUGUAUAUACAUGUAUAUAUUGUGCUAGUCGAUGAAACAUUAAUGAAGUUUAUAAGAAAAACCGCUUUCCUCUCAUAUUGUUGACACCAACGUAGUCAGCAUAUAAAUUGUUUAGUGCUCUGUUUUAGGCAUUGUUGUGAAAAGACAGGGGGCUAUAUAAAAUAAUCCUUGUUUUCUCUGAGGGAGACCAGUGUGUAGUCAGCUGAGGAUUCUUGAGAACGUUAAAUGAGCAAAUGCAUUAUAAAUCAUUUGACCUAGUGCUUAGCACAUAUAUAAAUGUUUGAUCUUACUCAUUGUUACAAAAUUGUAAACUGUGUGUUAUAAAAAUAAUAAAUGAAAACUUCAUUGUUAUACCUCUUUUCAUUUGACUUUCUUGGUCCCGUUCCUUCUUGCAUUUUAUCUAACUUUUCUAACUCCUUUGUUGUAAGUUCUUGGUCUUUGUGUCUCCUCUUUUCCUGUCCAGUCUCUUUUCCGUUAUUCCCUAGGUCAAUGUCAUCACCUUCUACUGAAAUUCAUUGCAGUCUAGUUCUGCAAAAUCUCUUAACCUCUCUUAGGAAGAAAAAUGACAUGAUCCAGCAGUGUUUCAGGAACCAGAAAUCUUGUUGCCACUCUGAAAUAUAGCUUAGAAGACCGAAGAGUGGAGUAAGCUAUCAGAUAAGAGAUUACUGCGUUACUUCAGUUGUCCAGAUAGCAGGGACCGGAACAAGGAUGUUGUGGGAAGAGAAGGGGGGGUUAAUGCGAGAAACACUUGCAGGAGUAAUCAGUAGAACUUUGCCACUGAUUGCAUAUAGUGAGGAAAAGAAUUGAAGGCCUUGAGAUUUCUAGCUUCAGAAUCAGUCCUGUACUAUUGGUAAUUAACAUAUAGAUAUAUUAUUGUGUGGGAGGCAGAGGGUUGAGUUUUGGGCAAGGUGCUUUAGCAGCAUGGCACUGUCAGACUAUUCCUUUAUUUGUUGCAGUCCCACCCACUCAUCCUCCCCCUCACUCACUCCCUGAAUUCCAUGCUAUUAGUCUGGGAGCUUCCCUUUAAGAAGGGCAGUUUCUAUCCGGUCAGAAUCAGCACUGGAGGCUGAAGCGCUGCGGAGCAGCUUCUUGUUUCCUGCCCACAUUCCCAUUGGCCUCCUCUCUGGAACCUUCCAAAAAGAUUACUUAGAGUAAUGUUCACCACCAUUACUAUCGCCCACCCACUUCUGGGAUAGUCACAGAUAAAUUUUUUAUUUUUAUAUAAAGUAAAUGGAGCAACUUGGCUGGGCUCUUUGAAGAAAAAUAAAACAUUAUGAAGUGUUUGUGAUUAAAACAUUAAUCAAUGAGUAGAGUAAUACCUCAUUCAUCUAAUAUUACUGGGCAAUUAAGUAUUCUAAAAUAAGACAAUUGAAACUUAUCCUGAAAUCUGUUUCCAUAUAGACUUUAUGUAUAUAGAACUUUUAAUGCUAUUUUUAUAUAUACUAUGUAGAUUAUAUAUAUAUAAACAGCUCCAAAUCUGUUUCUUUAUAAUGUUUUAUAUGACUUAACUGCCUUCUGAGAACAUGUCUCCACCCUAACUUAAUCUCCUGCUCUGCUUUUUGUCCCAGAGUUUCAGAAUGAGAAUCAGGAGUCCCUGAUCCUAGUCUACGGUCUAAGAGUAAAUUCUUGUUUGGGGAUCUUUUUUUUUUUUUUUUUUGUUUAACCAUUGAAUCUGUGAAAUCUGGAUUUGUGCCUAGCAUAGAGUAGAUGCUUAGUAUUUUUUGAAUGAAUCAUUGUUUUAUGCCCACUUCAGCACUCUUUCCCUGAUUUAUUACUUGGAAUUCAUCACUGCCUAGUAAAUAAGUUUCUGAGUUUUUAAUAUAAUAUGACUAUCUAGGUUCUAAUUGAGUUGAAUUAUUAAUAGUAAACUUCCCUUAUGAGUCUGGUUUUGCGGCUUAGUAGAAUUUUCAGUCCUCUUGAUGCAUUUUCUGAUCCUUAAACUUUUGAAAGAAAUGAUCUUCUACUACUUGGUUUAUUAAGAAUGAGUAAGUUAGUCACUCAGUCGUGUCCGACUCUUUGGGACUAUAGCCCAUGGACUGUAGUCCACCAGGCUCCUUUAUCCAUGGGAUUCUCCAGGCAAGAGUAUGGGAGUGGGUUGCCAUUCCCUUCUCCAGGGGAUCUUCCCAACCCAGGGAUUGCUCCUAGGUUUCCCACACUACAGGCAGAUUCUUUACCAUCUGAGCCACCAGGGAAGCCCUUACUGAGAAUAGUUUCUUCACUGAAUACAUUCCAUGGGCCUGUAACACAUAUAGGCAGUGCCGCUAUAUACAAGUAUGUCACCCAUGUCCCCAGGGAUCUUACACUUUAGAUGAAGAGACACAGAAGUGGAGCUCUAAGAGAAUAAUUACAUUUUGGGUCAUGAAGCAUUGAUCCACACGCGCAUUAGGAGUUCUAGGAAAAGGAGGGAUCCAUGUGGGCUGAAGCAGUAGAAAAAGAAUGCAGAAAGGAGAUGGAAUUUGAAUUGCUUUUGAAAAGGUAGUUAAGAUUUUGACAAGCAUCUGGUGGAGAAUUGACAUCCUAAGAUAGAGCAGUAGUGUAGUCAAGAAUGAAAACAGGAUUGAACAUGUUUAGACAAAGCCCAGAUUUCAGAUUUCUCUGAGUGUGGGGACUAGUGGGAAGUUAAAGUAACUAGAUUUAAUAGGGUUUUACUCCAGAUUCUAAAACCCUGAAGAGGGUCUGAGGACAGAAUUU